CUACAUUUCCUUUCACCUCUUACUUUCUUGAUCAGAACAAAAAGUAAAAAUAAACAAAGAUUUCACAAAGUUUCGAUUUUUUUUUUAAUGCUGGACUUCUGCAGCUAUAGCAGAAGAUUGAAAAACUGAACCUUUUUACGUGUAAAGUGUAUGGCGGAUGGAGGGUGAACAGGGCAUAUUGACCUUUUCCAGGCAGGCUGAGCAAUGACCGUCCUCUCUGUAUGGGUUGUUACCAAGAUUUCCUCUGGCCCACGAGCAGUGAAGCAAAUGUCUUUCAGUAAAUGCCGCGCAGAUAGGCCACGGUUAAGAGUCAUGCUUUUGGGUCAUGGAAAUCCCCGAGCGGGUUUGCCAGGCCACUGAUUAAGAGGAAGUGUGUGUGGUUAUUACCCCUGGAGUUCCCCUAAGUCCUAAAAGGAAAGCACCAGUGCACAUGCAAACCACUGGGAGGAGUGCGGAACGCCCGCUACGGGUAGGGGUGGGGAUUUGGGUGACGCAUUUAAAAGACAGCGUGAGACUCGCGCCCUCCGCACGGAACAGGCCGGGCGACAGGUGUCGCUUGAAAAGACUGGGCUUGUCCUUGCUGGUGCAUGCGUCGUCGGCCUCUGGGCAGCAGGUUUACAAAGGAGGAAAACAACUUCUUCUAGAUUUUUUUCUCAGUUUCUUCUAUAAAUCAAAACAUCUCAAAAUGGAGACCUAAAAUCCUUAAAGGGACUUAGUCUAAUCUCGGGAGGUAGUUUUGUGCAUGGGUAAACGAAUUAAGUAGUUAACUGGUGUUUUACUAUCCAAAGAAUGCUAAUUUUAUAAACAUGAUCAAGUUAUAUAAGGUAUAACUAUAAUGAGUUUGAUUUUGAAUUUGAUUUGUGGAAGUAAAGGAGAAGUGAUUCUAGCUGGGGCAUAUUGUUAAAGCAUUAUUUUCAGAGUUGGGCAGGCAAUCUCCUACUGGCAUAUUCUCCCAUUAUGUAGAAUAGAAACAGUACUUGUGUUUGGGAAAGAUUUUAAAAUGAGUGACAGUUACGUUGAACAAAAAGCUAAUAAUAAAUCCUCUGCAAACCAAAGAAAUACGCA
rnacentral:lncRNA from 1 species